AGCCCAGAGGAAGCUGAGCGCCUCGGCCAUCCCGCUGCCUUUGGCACCAGUGCCCUCUGCUGGCUGCUGGCGGGAGGGACGAGGGAUUUUGUUUUACUUCUCUUUGUUUGGCCAUCGACACCCCUUUUGUGGCUGAAGGACUGGUAGAAAGGGAAAAACAGGAAGAAAAUGGUGUUUAUUGAUUGGGAGAAAAGAAAAACUUACUUGUGGAGUGAUUGGUCUGAACUGAUUAUAACAGAAGAGGUUUAUUUCUCUCUUGUCCGGAUCACAACUGAAGUGCAGAGCCUCAUUCCCGUAGACUGCAAAGCCUAAGACCCCGAGGAAGAACAUUCGAACUGAUCCAAAGAAAAGGGUGUGAAAUUGGCCAAUCACGUAUUGAGCAUGUACAGUAUCAACUGCUCUGUAAGCUACUGCAUCCAUAUAACCAAGCUCUGUAGGAGAACACAGCCUAUAAAUCCAUAAGAUCUGAGUUCCUGUCUUUUUCUUCCAUUACUGGUUGUUUAAACAUUCCAUGUUAACUCUCAGUUUCACCUAACAAGUCUAAAACUCAGUUUCCUCAUUUGCUUGAAAUUUGUUGAAUGCUUUGGGUUUAUGGAUUUGUUUUCAACACAUUUGGAAAAAAUUAAACCAUUAUUUCUUCAAGUAUUUUUGCCUUCUCCUUUACCUCUUG